AGCAUAUGUAUCCCAGCUUGCGUGGGUGGAUAUAGUGGCGAACGGGUGAGUAACACGUGAGUAACCUGCCCUUAACUCUGGGAUAAGCCUGGGAAACUGGGUCUAAUACCGGAUAGGAGCGCCUACCGCAUGGUGGGUGUUGGAAAGAUUUAUCGGUUUUGGAUGGACUCGCGGCCUAUCAGCUUGUUGGUGAGGUAAUGGCUCACCAAGGCGACGACGGGUAGCCGGCCUGAGAGGGUGACCGGCCACACUGGGACUGAGACACGGCCCAGACUCCUACGGGAGGCAGCAGUGGGGAAUAUUGCACAAUGGGCGCAAGCCUGAUGCAGCGACGCCGCGUGAGGGAUGACGGCCUUCGGGUUGUAAACCUCUUUCAGUAGGGAAGAAGCGAAAGUGACGGUACCUGCAGAAGAAGCACCGGCUAACUACGUGCCAGCAGCCGCGGUAAUACGUAGGGUGCGAGCGUUAUCCGGAAAUUAUUGGGCGUAAAGAGCUCGUAGGCGGUUUGUCGCGUCUGUCGUGAAAGUCCGGGGCUUAACCCCGGAUCUGCGGUGGGUACGGGCAGACUAGAGUGCAGUAGGGGAGACUGGAAUUCCUGGUGUAGCGGUGGAAUGCGCAGAUAUCAGGAGGAACACCGAUGGCGAAGGCAGGUCUCUGGGCUGUAACUGACGCUGAGGAGCGAAAGCAUGGGGAGCGAACAGGAUUAGAUACCCUGGUAGUCCAUGCCGUAAACGUUGGGCACUAGGUGUGGGGACCAUUCCACGGUUUCCGCGCCGCAGCUAACGCAUUAAGUGCCCCGCCUGGGGAGUACGGCCGCAAGGCUAAAACUCAAAGGAAUUGACGGGGGCCCGCACAAGCGGCGGAGCAUGCGGGAUUAAUUUCGAUGCAACGCGAAGAACCCUUACCCAAGGGCUUGACAUGUUCUCGAUCGCCGUAGAGAUACGGAUUCCCCUUUUGGGGGCGGGAUCACAGGUGGUGCAUGAUUGUCGGUCAGCUCGUGUCGUGAGAUGUUGGGUUAAGUCCCGCAACGAGCGCAACCCUCGUUCCAUGUUGCCAGCACGUAAUGGUGGGGACUCAUGGGAGACUGCCGGGGUCAACUCGGAGGAAGGUGAGGACGACGUCAAAUCAUCAUGCCCCUUAUGUCUUGGGCUUCACGCAUGCUACAAUGGCCGGUACAAUGGGUUGCGAUACUGUGAGGUGGAGCUAAUCCCAAAAAGCCGGUCUCAGUUCGGAUUGGGGUCUGCAACUCGACCCCAUGAAGUCGGAGUCGCUAGUAAUCGCAGAUCAGCAACGCUGCGGUGAAUACGUUCCCGGGCCUUGUACACACCGCCCGUCAAGUCACGAAAGUCGGUAUACUAUACGAAGCCGGUGGCAC
rnacentral:rRNA from 1 species